CUGCAGCCAAUUAAGCCGACUGUCCUCCUUUCCUGUGGGGGCCAGUGUGCAAUGGCUGCAAACAGCAGCUUCCUCGGUAGUGUAUGCAACCUGUUGCAUGUACGGGUUGCCCUAAGGGACCUUGGAGACAGCA
rnacentral:snoRNA from 12 species